GACGAACGCUGGCGGCGUGCCUAAUACAUGCAAGUAGAACGCUGAAGCUUGGUGCUUGCACCGAGCGGAUUAGUUGCGAACGGGUGAGUAACGCGUAGGUAACCUGCCUGUUAGCGGGGAUAACUAUUGGAAACGAUAGCUAAUACCGCAUAAGAGUAGAUGUUGCAUGACAUUUGCUUAAAAGGUGCAAUUGCAUCACUACCAGAUGGACCUGCGUUGUAUUAGCUAGUUGGUGAGGUAACGGCUCACCAAGGCAACGAUACAUGGCCGACCUGAGAGGGGGAUCGGCCACACUGGGACUGAGACACGGCCCAGACUCCUACGGGAGGCAGCAGUAGGGAAUCUUCGGCAAUGGACGGAAGUCUGACCGAGCAACGCCGCGGGGGUGAAGAAGGUUUUCGGAUCGUAAAGCUCUGUUGUAAGAGAAGAACGAGUGUGAGAGUGGAAAGUUCACACUGUGACGGUAUCUUACCAGAAAGGGACGGCUAACUACGUG
rnacentral:rRNA from 1 species